rnacentral:rRNA from 1 species
GACGAACGCUGGCGGCGCGCUUAACACAUGCAAGUCGAACGGAAAGGCCUGCUUUCCCUUGUGGGUUGCGGGUACUCGCGUGGCGAACGGGUGAGUAACACGUGCGUGAUCUUUCCCGAACUUUGGUAUAAGCCUGGGAAACUGGGUCUAAUUCCCUAUAGGACCGCAGGGUGGUGCCUGUGGUUGAAGACGAUUGUCUAGUGGUUGGGGAUGAGCUCGCGGCGUGUCGGGUAGUUGGUGGGGUAAUGUCCUACCAAGGCGGGGACGGGUAGCCGGCCUGGGAGGGUGGACGGGAACAGUGGGACUGAGAUACGGCCCAGACGCCUACGGGAGGCAGCAGUGGGGAAGAUGGCACAAGGGGCGGAAGACUGAGGCAGCGACGCCGCGUGGGGGAUGACGGGCGUGGGGUUGUAAACUCCUUUCGACCGAGAGGAAGCCACCUGGUUGGAAGGGUGGUGACGGUAGUGGUAGAAGAAGCACCGGCUAACUACGUG